rnacentral:rRNA from 1 species
AGGGCACCACCAGGAGUGGAGCCUGCGGCUUAAUUUGACUCAACACGGGAAAACUCACCCGGCCCGGACACUGGAAGGAUUGACAGAUUGAGAGCUCUUUCUUGAUUCAGUGGGUGGUGGUGCAUGGCCGUUCUUAGUUGGUGGAGUGAUUUGUCUGGUUAAUUCCGAUAACGAACGAGACUCUAGCCUACUAAAUAGAUAGUCGGCUUACAAACGUCGACUAGACUUCUUAGAGGGACAGGCGGUGAUUCAACCGCACGAAACAGAGCAAUAACAGGUCUGUGGUGCCCUUAGAUGUCCGGGGCCGCACGCGCGCUACACUGAAGUGAUCAGCGUGCUUUUUCAGCCUACUCUGUCAAGAGUGGGAAACCCAAUGAACCUUCUUCGUGAUUGGGAUAGGGGAUUGUAAUUAUUCCCCUUGAACGAGGAAUUCCCAGUAAGCGCGAGUCAUAAGCUCGCGUUGAUUACGUCCCUGCCCUUUGUACACACCGCCCGUCGCUACUACCGAUUGAAUGUUUU